UACGUAGGGUGCAAGCGUUAAUCGGAAUUACUGGGCGUAAAGCGUGCGCAGGCGGCUAUGCAAGACAGGUGUGAAAUCCCCGGGCUUAACCUGGGAACUGCACUUGUGACUGCACAGCUGGAGUACGGCAGAGGGGGAUGGAAUUCCGCGUGUAGCAGUGAAAUGCGUAGAUAUGCGGAGGAACACCGAUGGCGAAGGCAGUCCCCUGGGCCUGUACUGACGCUCAUGCACGAAAGCGUGGGGAGCAAACAGG
rnacentral:rRNA from 1 species